UAAAAAGGUGAGCCAACCUGACCAAGGCUGCGCGUCGUUCCUUUCUUUGCUUCUGCUGAAGGUUUGAUUGACAGCCGAGAGGCCAGCUGUUAGACACUCAGCCCCACUCUCUGCGGAUCUUCGUCACUCUGUCGUCGUGUCUGUGACUUUUUCCUGUCUGUAUUUGCUUCACGUUGAGCCUCACGCACAAUACCUGAAGAUGAAGUUUUGUUCGUUCGGCUCGCGUUAUGCAGGUACGGGUUGGCAACUGGAAAAAGGCACAAAAUGGCACACUUUUUGUUGUUGUUGUUGUUUUGGAAGCACCAUCACGCCUUUAUUCACACACGAAUGAUGACAGUUUGUUUAAGGAGGCUUUUGCACUGGCUUUUUCUUAGAGUAACUUGAAUGAAAUAAAUGAAGCCAGAUGUUGCUGCCUUACGCAAUACUGCAGCACGAUACGCCAAAAUCUUGUGAUGAGUACAAAUAAAUUCUUUAAGAAAAAGAAUUGGAUUCAGGCAAUUUGAAAACAACACGGUUUCAGUAGAAGUGAAGCACCAGGUGUCCAGAACAUGUCACUGGAAAGUUGAUCUUAUUUGCAUACAGGUGUGUGUGUGUGUGUGUGUGUGUGUGUGAGUGAGUCAGCAGCAUCAUGCUGCCCUGACCUGUGCAGUCACUCAUUUACUGAAAAAGGUGCAUUUAAAAAUAAUCUAAGUUGUAAAAACAAACAAAAAAAAAGAUUGGUUGGUUUGUGGUUAAAGAGGACAAUUAAAGGGAGGGUAACGGCAGUUUAAUUCAGUUGCUCUCAGAUGUUAUCAAGACAGGAAGUCUCAGCUCAGGUCCAACUUUUUCUCUUAGAGAAAAAAUAAUGUAUGUAAAAGUAAGACUGUGAAUUCUGGUCUCGCAUCAAACCAUAUGUACAUGCGCUUGUGUCUCCUCAGCUCAGUAAAAAACAUGUAACUGAUGACGGGGAAGUGUUCAAGUGAGUUUUUAGUCAUGUGCCUAUUCAAAGUGAAAAGACUGACAUUUACUGUGGUCAGGGCGAUGAUCGGUGUCUCCUCACGGGGGGCUUUUUCUCUGCUAAUCAUUUUCCCAUUGUCACAUUCAUGAUGACAGCAUGUUCUUUCCACUGGGAGCCUAUUCAUUACUGCCCAUCUUCUACGUCAUGGGAUGAGGCUGCAGGCGAGCACCGUGGAGCAGGGAGAUGGGCUUAAUGGGAGUUUAUGUUAAUCAUUAACUAAACAUUAACCACACACACACACACACACACACUGAUAUGGGACAUCUGUCAUGUUGAUUAAGAUGUAGUACUCAGCCUUUUUGUUUGGUUAUACCAGCCGUUGCUCAUGUUAAAGAUCAUUAUACAAUAUACGCCUUUUUACAUAUACACAUUUUGUAUUCAACUCUCACCUUUACUGGGAAACAACUUAUUGAGUUGAGGUUUCACACUUACAUGUACAGACAUGAUAGAACAAGCAACGUGCCAUAAAAACACAGUCCAAGCUUCAUUUUCUUAUUGUUUUAUAUACUACACUUGUGCACCAGCACUGUGUAGAGAGCAGACAUAAAUAAAACACUUCAUUUCUCUUCUUUAUUUGGCAGAAAUCCAAACACGUUAUGUUGUACAGUUUAUGAAUGGAGCGUCUGGAGCAUUUGUGACACUUUAAAAAGCCUAAAUAGUCCUUUUGAACAUGCGAACACAUAUUUAUGUCCUUUGAUUUAUUUUAGUUGCUUUAGAGGUAUCUUAUCUUAUUUAUCAUACUGUACAGCUCUUUGGUCCACUGUGGUUGUCUUUAAAGUGCUUUACAAAUAAAGUUGGAUUGGAUUGGA